rnacentral:rRNA from 1 species
AGACCCGAAACCCGGUGAUCUAGCCAUGGGCAGGUUGAAGGUUGGGUAACACUAACUGGAGGACCGAACCGACUAAUGUUGAAAAAUUAGCGGAUGACCUGUGGCUGGGGGUGAAAGGCCAAUCAAACCGGGAGAUAGCUGGUUCUCCCCGAAAGCUAUUUAGGUAGCGCCUCGUGAAUUCAUCUCCGGGGGUAGAGCACUGUUUCGGCUAGGGGGCCAUCCCGGCUUACCAACCCGAUGCAAACUGCGAAUACCGGAGAAUGUUAUCACGGGAGACACACGGCGGGUGCUAACGUCCGUCGUGAAGAGGGAAACAACCCAGACCGCCAGCUAAGGUCCCAAAGUCAUGGUUAAGUGGGAAACGAUGUGGGAAGGCCCAGACAGCCAGGAUGUUGGCUUAGAAGCAGCCAUCAUUUAAAGAAAGCGUAAUAGCUCACUGGUCGAGUCGGCCUGCGCGGAAGAUGUAACGGGGCUAAACCAUGCACCGAAGCUGCGGCAGCGACACUCAGGUGUUGUUGGGUAGGGGAGCGUUCUGUAAGCCUGUGAAGGUGUGUCGUGAGGCAUGCUGGAGGUAUCAGAAGUGCGAAUGCUGACAUAAGUAACGAUAAAGCGGGUGAAAAGCCCGCUCGCCGGAAGACCAAGGGUUCCUGUCCAACGUUAAUCGGGGCAGGGUGAGUCGACCCCUAAGGCGAGGCCGAAAGGCGUAGUCGAUGGGAAACGGGUUAAUAUUCCCGUACUUGGUGUUACUGCGAAGGGGGGACGGAGAAGGCUAUGUUGGCCGGGCGACGGUUGUCCCGGUUUAAGCGUGUAGGUGUGUGUUCCAGGUAAAUCCGGUUCACUUUAACACUGAGGCGUGACGACGAGGCACUACGGUGCUGAAGCAACAAAUGCCCUGCUUCCAGGAAAAGCCUCUAAGCAUCAGGUAACAUCAAAUCGUACCCCAAACCGACACAGGUGGUCAGGUAGAGAAUACCAAGGCGCUUGAGAGAACUCGGGUGAAGGAACUAGGCAAAAUGGUGCCGUAACUUCGGGAGAAGGCACGCUGACACGUAGGUGAAGUGAUUUACUCAUGGAGCUGAAGUCAGUCGAAGAUACCAGCUGGCUGCAACUGUUUAUUAAAAACACAGCACUGUGCAAACACGAAAGUGGACGUAUACGGUGUGACGCCUGCCCGGUGCCGGAAGGUUAAUUGAUGGGGUCAGCGCAAGCGAAGCUCCUGAUCGAAGCCCCGGUAAACGGCGGCCGUAACUAUAACGGUCCUAAGGUAGCGAAAUUCCUUGUCGGGUAAGUUCCGACCUGCACGAAUGGCGUAAUGAUGGCCAGGCUGUCUCCACCCGAGACUCAGUGAAAUUGAACUCGCUGUGAAGAUGCAGUGUACCCGCGGCAAGACGGAAAGACCCCGUGAACCUUUACUAUAGCUUGACACUGAACAUUGAGCCUUGAUGUGUAGGAUAGGUGGGAGGCUUUGAAGCGUGGACGCCAGUCUGCGUGGAGCCGACCUUGAAAUACCACCCUUUAAUGUUUGAUGUUCUAACGUGGACCCGUGAUCCGGGUUGCGGACAGUGUCUGGUGGGUAGUUUGACUGGGGCGGUCUCCUCCUAAAGAGUAACGGAGGAGCACGAAGGUUGGCUAAUCCUGGUCGGACAUCAGGAGGUUAGUGCAAUGGCAUAAGCCAGCUUGACUGCGAGCGUGACGGCGCGAGCAGGUGCGAAAGCAGGUCAUAGUGAUCCGGUGGUUCUGAAUGGAAGGGCCAUCGCUCAACGGAUAAAAGGUACUCCGGGGAUAACAGGCUGAUACCGCCCAAGAGUUCAUAUCGACGGCGGUGUUUGGCACCUCGAUGUCGGCUCAUCACAUCCUGGGGCUGAAGUAGGUCCCAAGGGUAUGGCUGUUCGCCAUUUAAAGUGGUACGCGAGCUGGGUUUAGAACGUCGUGAGACAGUUCGGUCCCUAUCUGCCGUGGGCGCUGGAGAACUGAGGGGGGCUGCUCCUAGUACGAGAGGACCGGAGUGGACGCAUCACUGGUGUUCGGGUUGUCAUGCCAAUGGCACUGCCCGGUAGCUAAAUGCGGAAGAGAUAAGUGCUGAAAGCAUCUAAGCACGAAACUUGCCCCGAGAUGAGUUCUCCCUGAGACUUAAAGUCUCCUGAAGGAACGUUGAAGACGACGACGUUGAUAGGCCGGGUGUGUAAGCGCAGCGAUGCGUUGAGCUAACCGGUACUAAUGAACCGUGAGGCUUAACCUUACAACGCCGAAG